rnacentral:rRNA from 1 species
CCGCGUGAAGGACGAAGUCCUUCGGGACGUAAACUUCUGAAUUUAUCGAACAAUAAAGUGAGUAGGAAAUGGCUCACAGAUGAGGGUAGAUAAAGAAAAGCCCCGGCUAACUACGUGCCAGCAGCCGCGGUAAUACGUAGGGGGCGAGCGUUGCCCGGAAUCACUGGGCGUAAAGGGGGUGUAGGCGGUCAUCUAAGUCAGAUGUAAAAGACCUUGGCUCAACCAAGGGGUUGCGUCUGAAACUGGGUGACUUGAGGUUACUAGAGGGAGACGGAAUUACCUGUGUAGGGGUGAAAUCCGUAGAUACAGGUAAGAAGGCCGGUGGUGAAGACGGUCUCCUGGGGUAAACCUGACGCUGAGGCCCGAAAGCUAGGGGAGCAAACCGGAUUAGAUACCCGGGUAGUCCUAGCCGUAAACGAUGCCCACUAGGUGUGAGCGGUAGUACCGUUCGUGCUGAAGCUAAGGCGAUAAGUGGGCCGCCUGGGGAGUACGUCCGCAAGGAUGAAACUCAAAUGAAUUGACGGGGUCAUAGCUGUUUCCUG